UACGUAGGGUGCAAGCGUUAAUCGGAAUUACUGGCGUAAAGCGUGCGCAGGCGGCUUUGCAAGACAGAUGUGAAAUCCCUCAGCUUAACUGGGGAACUGCGUCUGAUACUGGAUGGCUUGAGUUUGGGAGAGGGAUGCGGAAUUCCAGGUGUAGCGGUGAAAUGCGUAGAUAUCUGGAGGAACACCGGUGGCGAAGGCGGCAUCCUGGACCAACACUGACACUGAGGAGCGAAAGCCAGGGGAGCAAACGGG
rnacentral:rRNA from 1 species